rnacentral:rRNA from 1 species
UACAGAGGUCCCAAGCGUUUGUUCGGAUUCACUGGGCGUAAAGGGUGCGUAGGUGGUGAGGUAAGUCGGAUGUGAAAGCUCCGAGCUCAACUCGGAAAUGGCAUUGGAAACUACCUUGCUAGAGGGUUUGAGGGGGGACUGGAAUACUUGGUGUAGCAGUGAAAUGCGUAGAUAUCAAGUGGAACACCAGUGGCGAAGGCGAGUCCCUGGAAAACUCCUGACACUGAGGCACGAAAGCUAGGGGAGCAAACAGG